ACAUGCAAGUCGAACGGCAGCACGGACUUCGGUCUGGUGGCGAGUGGCGAACGGGUGAGUAAUGUAUCGGAACGUGCCCAGUAGCGGGGGAUAACUACGCGAAAGCGUAGCUAAUACCGCAUACGCCCUACGGGGGAAAGCAGGGGAUCGCAAGACCUUGCACUAUUGGAGCGGCCGAUAUCGGAUUAGCUAGUUGGUGGGGUAACGGCUCGCCAAGGCGACGAUCCGUAGCUGGUUUGAGAGGACGACCAGCCACACUGGGACUGAGACACGGCCCAGACUCCUACGGGAGGCAGCAGUGGGGAAUUUUGGACAAUGGGGGAAACCCUGAUCCAGCCAUCCCGCGUGUGCGAUGAAGGCCUUCGAGUUGUAAAGCACUUUUGGCAGGAAAGAAACGUCGCGGGUUAAUACCCCGCGGAACUGACGGUACCUGCAGAAUAAGCACCGGCUAACUACGUGCCAGCAGCCGCGGUAAUACGUAGGGUGCAAGCGUUAAUCGGAAUUACUGGGCGUAAAGCGUGCGCAGGCGGUUCGGAAAGAAAGAUGUGAAAUCCCAGAGCUUAACUUUGGAACUGCAUUUUUAACUACCGGGCUAGAGUGUGUCAGAGGGAGGUGGAAUUCCGCGUGUAGCAGUGAAAUGCGUAGAUAUGCGGAGGAACACCGAUGGCGAA
rnacentral:rRNA from 1 species